AUUGAACGCUGGCGGCAGGCUUAACACAUGCAAGUCGAGCGGGGUGAUGGUGCUUGCACUAUCACUUAGCGGCGGACGGGUGAGUAAUGCUUAGGAAUCUGCCUAUUAGUGGGGGACAACAUCUCGAAAGGGAUGCUAAUACCGCAUACGUCCUACAGGAGAAAGCAGGGGAUCACUUGUGACCUUGCGCUAAUAGAUGAGCCUAAGUCGGAUUAGCUAGUUGGUGGGGUAAAGGCCUACCAAGGCGACGAUCUGUAGCGGGUCUGAGAGGAGGAGCCGCCACACUGGGACUGAGACACGGCCAAGACUCCUACCGGAGGCAGCAGGGGGGAAUAUUGGACAAUGGGGGGAACCCUGAUCCAGCCAUGCCGCGUGUGUGAAGAAGGCCUUAUGGUUGUAAAGCACUUUAAGCGAGGAGGAGGCUCUUUUGGUUAAUACCCAAGAUGAGUGGACGUUACUCGCAGAAUAAGCACCGGCUAACUCUGUGCCAGCCGCCGCCGUAA
rnacentral:rRNA from 1 species